CAUUCCUCAGGCUGCCUCGGUCACCCGAGGGAGAGUGAGCGCAGACGGAGAGAGCCCCGUUUCGGCGCUGGGAAGGUCUACUUCCCUUCAGGAGAAAAGUCACCUAAUGAAUGGAUACACACUGAGCAAUUAAGAGGCCUGGCUAUACUAACUCACAGCAGAGUACGUGGAGACCCCAAGCCCCUGGGACCCUUGCGGGGGUGUUGCGCUGAGAUUUCAGGGGUCGGUGAGAUAUGUGGGGAGCUCACAGGAGUCAAGCUGCUGGAAACGCGGAGGAGGAGCUCCAAGGAAGGCACCCAAACAGACAAGGCUUGAAUCUGGUAAUCAGAAUGACUGAUCUCAAAACAAC